rnacentral:rRNA from 1 species
ACGGAAGGCAGCAGUAGGGAAUAUUGGACAAUGGGGGAAACCCUGAUCCAGCGACGCCGCGUGAGUGAAGAAAUAUUUCGGUAUGUAAAGCUCUAUCAGCAGGGAAGAAAAUGACGGUACCUGACUAAGAAGCACCGGCUAAAUACGUGCCAGCAGCCGCGGUAAUACGUAUGGUGCAAGCGUUAUUCGGAUUUACUGGGUGUAAAGGGAGCGUAGACGGCAUGGCAAGUCUGAAGUGAAAUGCGGGGGCUCAACCCCUGAACUGCUUUGGAAACUGUCAAGCUAGAGUAUCGGAGAGGUAAGUGGAAUUCCUAGUGUAGCGGUGAAAUGCGUAGAUAUUAGGAGGAACACCAGUGGCGAAGGCGGCUUACUGGACGAUAACUGACGUUGAGGCUCGAAAGCGUGGGGAGCAAACAGGAUUAGAUACCCUGGUA